rnacentral:rRNA from 1 species
UUACUUGAGGAAUAAGCAUCGGCUAACUUCUGUGCCAGCCCCCGCGGUAAUACAGGGGAUGCAAGUGUUAUCCGGAAUUAUUGGGCGUAAAGCGUCUGCAGGUGGAUUUUUAAGUCUUUUGUUAAAUGUUUGGGCUUAACCCGAAAUCUGCAAAAGAAACUAUUGAUCUUGAGUCUGGUAAAGGUAGAAGGAAUUUCCAGUGGAGCGGUGAAAUGCGUAGAGAUUGGAAAGAACACCAAAAGCGAAGGCAUUCUACUGGGCCAUGACUGACACUCAGAGACGAAAGCUAGGGGAGCAAACAGGAUUAGAUACCCUGGUAGUCCUAACUGUAAACGAUGGACACUAGAUGUUGUUGAUUCACUGAAUCAGCAGUGUCGUAGCUAACGCGUUAAGUGUCCCGCCUGGGAAGUAUGCUCGCAAGAGUGAAACUC